rnacentral:rRNA from 1 species
GAGUUUGAUCGUGGCUCAGAUUGAACGCUGGCGGCAGGCCUAACACAUGCAAGUCGAGCGGAUGAAGGGAGCUUGCUCCUGGAUUCAGCGGCGGACGGGUGAGUAAUGCCUAGGAAUCUGCCUGGUAGUGGGGGAUAACGUCCGGAAACGGGCGCUAAUACCGCAUACGUCCUGAGGGAGAAAGUGGGGGAUCUUCGGACCUCACGCUAUCAGAUGAGCCUAGGUCGGAUUAGCUAGUUGGUGGGGUAAAGGCCUACCAAGGCGACGAUCCGUAACUGGUCUGAGAGGAUGAUCAGUCACACUGGAACUGAGACACGGUCCAGACUCCUACGGGAGGCAGCAGUGGGGAAUAUUGGACAAUGGGCGAAAGCCUGAUCCAGCCAUGCCGCGUGUGUGAAGAAGGUCUUCGGAUUGUAAAGCACUUUAAGUUGGGAGGAGGGCAGUAGUUAAUACCUUGCUGUUUGACGUUACCAACAGAAUAAGCACCGGCUAACUUCGUGCCAGCCGCCGC